ACACCGAUGGUGAAGCAGUUAUCAUGCUUGCCUUCCAUAUCAGACAUUGAUUCUUUAAGCAAGCGGCAGGGGUUUGACUCCCCUUCGGUGUA